CAGCAGCAGCCGCGGGAAUACGGAGGGUGCAAGCGUUAAUCGGAAUUACUGGGCGUAAAGCGCACGCAGGCGGUCUGACAAGUCAGAUGUGAAAUCCCCGGGCUUAACCUGGGAACUGCAUUUGAAACUGUCAGGCUGGAGUCUUGUAGAGGGGGGUGGAAUUCCAGGUGUAGCGGUGAAAUGCGUAGAGAUCUGGAGGAAUACCGGUGGCGAAGGCGGCCCCCUGGACAAAGACUGACGCUCAGGUGCGAAAGCGUGGGGAGCAAACAGGAUUAGAUACCCCGGUAGUCCCUGUCUCUUAUAC
rnacentral:rRNA from 1 species